rnacentral:lncRNA from 1 species
GAUCUCCACUGAAACCGUGAGCUGUACCAGUGAAGAAAUAUGUAAACAGCAUGUACAAUAUUGUUGUUGAAAAAAAAAUUGUAAACAUCCGAUGGUCCGAAGUUCGAAAAAAAGAACAUACAAACAAUCGACACAAAGCACCUGCGAUAGAAAAAAAAAACUCGCAUUUACUGAUUUAAAACAGAAGAUGUGUAAAUGACCUAUUACCGCA